AUUGAACGCUGGCGGCAGGCCUAACACAUGCAAGUCGAGCGAGCGGCGGACGGGUGAGUAAUGUAUGGGGACUGCCCGAUCGAGGGGGAUAACUACUGGAAACGGUGGCUAAUACCGCUUACUAUCCGUUAACCCAUAUGGGUUUAGCUAGUAGGUGGGGUAAAGGCUCACCUUGGCGACGAUCCAUAGCUGGUCUGCGAGGGUGAUCGGCCACACGGGGAAGGAGACACGGCCCAGACUCCUACGGAGGCAGCAGUGGGGAAUAUUGGACAAUGGGCGAAAGCCUGAUGCAGCCAUGCCGCGUGUAUGAAGAAGGCCUUAGGAUUGUAAAGUACUUUCAGCGGGGAGGCGUUACCCGCAGAAGAAGCACCGGCUAACUCCGUGCCAGCAGCCGCGGUAAUUC
rnacentral:rRNA from 1 species